ensembl:lncRNA
AAACAAUUUCUUUUGGAGGAGACUCCCCAGGCCGACACAUCCACUGCGGGGCAGGGAAAGAGCUCCAGCACAGACCAGGUAUGUUACAGGUACAGGGCCCCAUAAGACGUGAGGAGACGUCCUACGCAGGGUUGAAGGAGCGAGAGUGCUCCCCCCGAGGGUGGAUCCACAGGUAACGGUUGGGUGAUCGCGAUGGCUGGGGGAGUACAGCCCUCGGGAGGGGGGUCCCACUUAGGGGGGUAUCCCGAAAAUCCUGAGAACCUCACAGGUAAAGCGCGCAAGGUAUCCCGAGAGUGAGGCCACAGCACCUUCGGGAAUGUGAGCUGUGUGAGCUUUGGAAAGAUGGAAGCUAAACAGUGUGUCGGAUCCAUGGUUUCGUUCUCCUGCGAGGGAGACGGCUGCAAACUGUUACUGAAGAGCUUAAAGUGACUGGUCAG